GAUGAACUCUGGCGGCGUGCUUAACACAUGCAAGUCGAACGAAGCACUUUAUUUGAUUUCCUUCGGGAUUGAUUAUUUUGUGACUGAGUGGCGGACGGGUGAGUAACGCGUGGGUAACCUGCCUUGUACAGGGGGGGAUAACAGUUGGAAACGGCUGCUAAUACCGCAUAAGCGCACAGCAUCGCAUGAUGCAGUGUGAAAAACUCCGGUGGUAUAAGAUGGACCCGCGUUGGAUUAGCUAGUUGGUGAGGUAACGGCCCACCAAGGCGACGAUCCAUAGCCGACCUGAGAGGGUGACCGGCCACAUUGGGACUGAGACACGGCCCAAACUCCUACGGGAGGCAGCAGUGGGGAAUAUUGCACAAUGGGCGAAAGCCUGAUGCAGCGACGCCGCGUGAGCGAAGAAGUAUUUCGGUAUGUAAAGCUCUAUCAGCAGGGAAGAUAAUGACGGUACCUGACUAAGAAGCACCGGCUAAAUGCGUGCCAGCAGCCGCGGUAAUACGUAUGGUGCAAGCGUUAUCCGGAUUUACUGGGUGUAAAGGGAGCGCAGGCGGUGCGGCAAGUCUGAUGUGAAAGCCCGGGGCUCAACCCCGGUACUGCAUUGGAAACUGUCGUACUAGAGUGUCGGAGGGGUAAGCGGAAUUCCUAGUGUAGCGGUGAAAUGCGUAGAUAUUAGGAGGAACACCAGUGGCGAAGGCGGCUUACUGGACGAUAACUGACGCUGAGGCUCGAAAGCGUGGGGAGCAAACAGGAUUAGAUACCCUGGUAGUCCACGCCGUAAACG
rnacentral:rRNA from 1 species